UAAAGGGCACACAGUGGAUGCCUUGGUGCUGAAUGGCGAUGAAGGACGUGAUAAGCUGCGAUAAGCUUCGGGGAGUGGCAAAUACACUUUGAUCCGGAGAUUUCCGAAUGGGAUAACCUGGUGUUGGUAAUACAGCAUCGUCUUUUUCUGAAGCCCUUUAAAUAGGGAAGGUAGGAAAAAGUUCGCGAUACCCGCUGAAGUGAAACAUCUCAGUAAGCGGAGGAAAAGAAAGAGAAAUCGAUACCGCAAGUAGUGGCGAGCGAAACCGGUAGAGCCCAAACCAGAGAUAUUUCUCUGGGGUUCGGACCCCGACGUGGGACCAACAAAGAUAGGAGAAGCUUCUGGAAAGAAGCGGCAUAGAGGGUGACACCCCCGUAACCGAAAUCUGAGUUGGCCCUAGGGAGUUCCAGAGUAGCACUGCACACGUGAAACGCAGUGUGAAUAUGUGCGGACCACCGCAUAAGGCUAAAUACAAGUCAGCGACCGAUAGUGAACAAGUACCGCGAGGGAAAGGUGAAAAGAACCGCUGUGAGCGGAGUGAAAUAGAACCUGAAACCGUGUGCCUACAAGGUGUUAGAGCAGCUUCGGCUGUGAUAGCGUGCCUUUUGCUUAAUGAGUCUGCGAGUUAGCAUCUGUGGCAAGCUUAAGGUCUUCCGGACCGUAGGCGAAGCGAAAGCGAGUCCGAAUAGGGCGAUUUAGUGGCAGGUGCUGGACCCGAAGCGGAGGUGAUCUACCCAUGGCCAGGUUGAAGCGUGAGUAAUAUCUCGUGAAGGACCGAACCGGUGAAUGUUGAAAAAUUCUCGGAUGAGCUGUGGGUAGGAGUGAAAGGCUAAUCAAACCCCGUGAUAGCUGGUUCUCCUCGAAAUGCAUUGAGGUGCAGCGUUGUAUGUUUAUGAAUGGGGGUAGAGCACUGAAAAGGCUAGGGGGCAUACCCGUCUACCAAACCUUAUCAAACUCCGAAUACCAUUCAACAGAAUACAGCAGUGAGACGGCGGGGGAUAAGCUUCGUCGUCAAAAGGGAAACAACCCUGAUCAGCAGCUAAGGUGCCAAAAUAACGCUAAGUGGAAAGGAUGUGGAGUUUCAUAGACAGUGAGGAUGUUGGCUUAGAAGCAGCCACCAUUUAAAAAGUGCGUAAUAGCUUACUCAUCGAGAGACUCCGCGCCGAAAAUGAUUGGCGAUAAGCGUUAUACCGAAGCUCUGGGUGUCUAGUUUACUAGGCGCGGUAGAGGAGCAUUCUAGUCAGCAGUGAAGCGCGAUAGCGAUUGACCGUGGAGCGGCUAGAAGAGAGGAUGCAGACAUAAGUAACGAUAAGACCAGUGAAAUCCUGGUCCGCCGUAAACCCAAGGUUUCCAGGGCCACGUUUUUCGUCCCUGGGUUAGUCAGGACCUAAGUCGAGGCCGAAGGGCGUAGACGAUGGACACAAGGUUAAUAUUCCUUGACUUCCGAACCUUAAACCGGAUGGACGCAUGAAUGGAGGGAUCUAAGUAAUUGAAUUCUGAGAGGCGGCUUCGGCCAAAUCGUAAUCCCAAAGUGAGUGCCUAGAAAAGAUCCGGCGUAUGCUAAGGAACCUGUACCGUAAACCGACACAGGUGGGUGGGUAGAGUAUACCAAGGCGCAAGAGUGAACCCUCGUUAAGGAACUCGGCAAAUUAGCCCCGUAACUUCGGGAGAAGGGGUGCCUGUUUUUAACAGGCCGCAGUGAAAUGGCCCAACCGACUGUUUAGCAAAAACACAGCAUUCUGCCAAGACGCAAGUCCAAGUAUAGGAUGUGACACGUGACCAAUGCGGAAAGAUUAAGGUAAGAUGUUAGCGCAAGCGAAGCUUUGAGCCCAAGUCCCCGUGAAUGUCGGCCGUAACUAUAACGGUCCUAAGGUAGCGAAAUUCCUUGUCAGGUAAGUUCUGACCUGCACGAAUCGUGUAACGAGUUGGGCACUGUCUCAACGAGGCGCUCAGUGAAAUUGUAAUGGCGGUGAAGAUGCCGCCUACCCGCAGAAGGACGGAAAGACCCUAUAGACCUUAACUGUAAGCUAUCAUUGGUUUCUCGAUUUUCAUGCUCAGCAUAAGUGGGAGGCGUUGAAGUGGCCCUUUAGGGGGUCGCGGAGCCAUCAGUGAGAUACCACCCUUGGGUGUUGGGAGAUCUAACCUCAGUCCCGUGAAUCCGGGUGAGGAACAGUGUUAGCCGGUCAGUUUUACUGGGGCGGUAUCCUCCUAAAGAGUAACGGAGGAGCGCGAAGGUGGGCUCAAUACGGUUGGUAACCGUAUGUCGAGUGCAUAGGCAUAAGCCCGCCUAACUGUGAGACCUACAAGUCGAGCAGAUGCGAAAGCAGGCCUAAGUGAUCCGGCGGUUGAAAGUGGAAUUGCCGUCGCUCAACGGAUAAAAGGUACCUUAGGGAUAACAGGCUGAUUUCGCCCAAGAGUUCAUAUCGACGGCGAAGUUUGGCACCUCGAUGUCGGCUCGUCGCAUCCUGGGGCUGGAGAAGGUCCCAAGGGUCCGGCUGUUCGCCGGUUAAAGCGGCACGCGAGCUGGGUUCAGAACGUCGCGAGACAGUUCGGUCCUCUAUCCUCUGUGGGCGUAGGAAAAUUGAAGGGUUCAAACUCUAGUACGAGAGGACCGAGUUUGACGCACCUCUGGUGCACCUGUUGUUCUGUCAAGAGCAUAGCAGGGUAGCUACGUGCGGAAGGGAUAAGCGCUGAAAGCAUCUAAGCGCCAAGCCCCUCCUAAGAUGAAUUUUCCCUGAAGGAUCGUGGAAGACUACCACGUUGAUAGGCUGAAAGUGUAAAUGCAGUAAUGUAUGAGCUUAGCAGUACUAAUCAUCCGAUCGGCUUGAUU
rnacentral:rRNA from 1 species